rnacentral:rRNA from 1 species
CACGUAGGGCGCAAGCGUUGUCCGGAAUUAUUGGGCGUAAAGAGCUCGUAGGCGGUCUGUUGCGUCCGCGUGUGAAAACUCGGGGCUUAACCCCGAGCCUGCAGUGGAUACGGGCAGACUAGAGGUAGGUAGGGGAGAAUGGAAUUCCCGGUGUAGCGGUGAAAUGCGCAGAUAUCGGGAGGAACACCGGUGGCGAAGGCGGUUCUCUGGGCCUUACCUGACGCUGAGGCAGCGAAAGCGUGGGGAGCGAACAGGAAUUGAGACUACCC